AAUUUACUGCCACCGGGUAGGAAUGCUUUAGGCAUUCAGUCUCAUCGUUAGGUCUUAGAAGAUGGACACAUAUUUUUACAAAAGGA
rnacentral:ncRNA from 1 species